AGGCAUUGGUGUCUGCAACUAUAGCUGCCGCAAUGACUAUAAUUGGGGCAUUGGAACGAGUUUGUGUAUCCACCAACGGUGCUAGGGUGGCUAACUAUAGUCGCAGUUACUAGAAUAGGUUCUGGUUGAUCAGCAUUGGUGCCGACAAUCAAAGGCUGGGGACCAUGCGAGGGAGCAUGUUCCGCAUGAACCAAACCUGCAUGAUCCGACCCCACUAUUUGGAUCCCACGAUCGAUUGCCUUUCCCAUCUUUGGAUGAUAUGAGCGUGCCGUCUGGCCUUACUUGCCAUCAUUGUUGCC
rnacentral:lncRNA from 1 species